UUUUCUCUACCGUGCGAAGCAGUCCCCACCCGGCCUCUCUACAGCUUCGUUGCUUCUCUUCCCCAACCAAAGUUCACAAGCCCCCGCUCACGCCAACCUCGAGAUCUUCAAUCAAGCUGCUCCUCUCCACUAGUUGCUGUCCCCCGCCAGUCAACUCUCCUCACUGAAGCCUGAUCGAAGCCCCGUCUACGGUUUGCUUCUCUCUCGCGCUGCCACCGAAGACCCAAAGUCCAGCAUCUUCGUUCGUGCCUUGCCAACAGCCACGAAGACUUGCAGCCACGCCAAGUAGCUGCUUCCUCGUCCGCGUGAAUUUCCCCGACGCCACGAAGACAGGAGCUGCUACCGCGCCAGCUCUCAAACGAAGCAGCACUGCUCGAAGCCGAGCGAAGCCACCCCCCAUCUUCGGUUUGGCUCCACGAAGCUGCCCCUUCGUCCUCAGUCUCCAACAGCAGCAACCCACGUGUUUCUUCCCUCGUUCCAGCCCGAUUUCCUGCCACCGUUUGAAGCCAGCGAGAUCUGCAAGCUUCGGUCAGCCCAGCAAGCCCAACUUCAAUUUCAGUCUUCAAGCCCAGUCAAAUUGCUUCAGCUGCAGCCCAGUCCAGUCCACGUGAGUUAAUUGGCCAAGCCCAAUUUCCAGCAAAGCAAUUAAAGUCCAGCCCAUAUCUUGAAGCCCAUCUUCAGCAGGUCCAACCCAACUUGGGUCCAGCCCAAAAGCAAAAACAAAUCUCAAUUGGGCUGAGAUUUGUUGGGCCCAAGUUUAAGGCCCGGUCCAAGCCCGCCGGUAUCGUCGAAAGCCUGAUUUCGGCUGCCGUCGCGUCGCCGUCGUGGUAUCCUGAUACCCGCUUUUAAUCAAGUGAGUAAUCUCACUAAUCCUUGCUUAGUAUACUAAUUAUGCUUAAGGAUUGAUUAGAUUUAAUUAAGUGUAAUUAGGUGGUUAAAUUAGAAUGGAUUAGUGAUUAUUAGUUAAUUGCAUUGCAUAUUAGUUAGGUGAUUAGUGUACUUAGCUAGAGAAUUGCCUAUACUAUUUAUUGAAUGCAUCUCGGGAUUUUUCCCGACCCUUAUCGGGCUUCAAUUAGGCAUUACGGGCCUAAAUUGGAUUUUUAAUAUUUAUUGAUUUAAUUUCGAAAUUAAUUAUUUAAUUAUUUAUUUUUCCGGAAAUUCAACCGGGAUGGCUGGUGACCGGAAUUUCAUGUUGAUUGUCGUGGUGCAGUCCAUUUAUUUAUUUGAGCUCUACAUUGUUCUAAAUUGAAUUAAUUGCGUGAAUUAAGGAAUUAUUCCUAAAUUGAUUGAAAUUAAGUGAAAUUGAAUGAUUGGUUGGUAGAUGGCCGAGUAUAGUUAUUGAGCAUUGUUAAUGCCUUAAUGAGUAAUGAGGUGGAGAGAAUCGUGAGAUUUAAUUGGGAAUACUUUUGGCUGAGACCAAUCAGAUACAAGGUAUAGACAGGCGUGGUUCCGUGAUUAAGGAUAUCACUGUGUGAAAAUGGCACAUUAAAGAAUGCACGUAGACUGUCUGUGACUUGUGGCAAGCAUGGUUCGAUGAUUAAUGAUAUCACUGUGCAAAAACGGCGCCUUAAAGAACGCACGUAGACUGUCUGUGAUCUGUGACCUAUGACAGGCGUGGUUCGGUGAUGAAGGACAUCACUGUGCGAAAACAGCGCCUUAAAGAACACAUGUAGACUGUUUGUUACUUACGUCACCUUGGCGAAAACGAUGGCCGAGAGUAUUAAUGGAGCUCUUUGACUAUGUGUACUAUUGGAGGUUAUAUAGUGGGUUGUGAAUGACCUAGAAGAGGUUUGACUGAUGUGUAAUCGACUAAGUCGAUUAAGAAAUGAUUUGAUCUGAUGUCGUAAUUUGAUUGACUGUUCGAUGUGAUAUAUGAAGCAUCUGUAUAUAACCUUAAAUUGCAGGUUGGAACUGAUGCCAAGGUAAGUCUUCUGACUCGUGCUGUGCUUAGGCAACCAUGUGGUGUAUUGGUUUCCUAAUCGAGUCUUAGUGGGGUAGAAUUUGCUGAGACGUAGUCUCAUCCCAGUUGUGGGACAACAUUUCAGGACCCUGAUGAGGAGCCUAAGGAGAAAGAAACUGAAGAGGAGUAUCUGGAGGAGAAUCUAGAGGAUGAUCCUGAGUACGACCAGGAUGAGGAUUGAGAGCCUAUCCGCUUUUUGUAAACCCUGUUUAUGUGUAGAUAGAGUGAGGCUUUAAAUUUGUGAACAGUUGUGAAGUACUCUGUAUUGUGUUAUGUAUAAGAGUUUGGUUAUGAGUUUCAAUAUGAAAAAUA
rnacentral:lncRNA from 1 species